UUAACACAUGCAAGUCGAGCGGAAAGGCCCUUCGGGGUACUCGAGCGGCGAACGGGUGAGUAACACGUGAGCAACCUGCCCCUUGCUUUGGGAUAACCCUCGGAAACGGGGGCUAAUACCGAAUGUUCACUGCUGACACAUGUUUGGUGGUGGAAAGUUUUUCGGCUAGGGAUGGGCUCGCGGCCUAUCAGCUUGUUGGUGGGGUAAUGGCCUACCAAGGCGACGACGGGUAGCCGGCCUGAGAGGGCGACCGGCCACACUGGGACUGAGACACGGCCCAGACUCCUACGGGAGGCAGCAGUGGGGAAUAUUGCGCAAUGGGCGGAAGCCUGAUGCAGCGACGCCGCGUGAGGGAAGACGGCCUUCGGGUUGUAAACCUCUUUCAGCUCCGACGAAGCGAAAGUGACGGUAGGGGCAGAAGAAGCGCCGGCCAACUACGUGCCAGCAGCCGCGGUAAGACGUAGGGCGCGAGCGUUGUCCGGAUUUAUUGGGCGUAAAGAGCUCGUAGGCGGCUUGUCGCGUCGACUGUGAAAACCCGUGGCUCAACCAUGUGGUCUGCAGUCGAUACGGGCAGGCUAGAAUUCGGUAGGGGAGACUGGAAUUCCUGGUGUAGCGGUGAAAUGCGCAGAUAUCAGGAGGAACACCGGUGGCGAAGGCGGGUCUCUGGGCCGAUAUUGACGCUGAGAAGCGAAAGCGUGGGGAG
rnacentral:rRNA from 1 species